AAGGAGAGUUGAGAGUAGUGAAUCAGGAUAAGGUUGUGGUUAAUGAGAGGUUCGCGGACGAUGAUGGAGGAAGGACGGGUUUGGCCGGCGCGGUUUGGGUGUGGAUUCGCCGGCGGAUGUUGAUGUUGAUGGUGGAUUUAGGGGUUGGUCGUGUGGUGGUGUCGGAGGGUUUUGAUGGUGGAGAUUUAUGAGGGUUUCGUGGUGGUAGAUCAGAGAGAAAAAGGGUCGCUCGCCGGAGAGAGAUGAAAACGAAGGAGCUUUUUUUAAUUUCUUUUCUUUUCGUUUGCUUUUUCUUUUCGUGAGUGAAAGGGUGAGGGAGCAGAGUGGUUUCUACGGUGGGUUUGAGCGUGAGGUGGAUGGUGUGAGCGGUGGUGGAAAGAGAGCGACGUGAGGUUGUUUGAAGUGUGUGGGAAAGAAGAAGAAGUUUUUUUUAUUAAUUCUUCUCUUUUCUUUCAGAGUGUGUAGUUGAAUAGUGAGAGAAGAGAGAUAGUAAUUUUGUUGAGAGAAACGUGUGUGAGACGUGUGGAGAUCUUGAGGGGUGAGU
rnacentral:lncRNA from 1 species